rnacentral:lncRNA from 1 species
CGUCAUCCAAAUGCCGCACUGUUGUGGAACUCCAUGGGCGCCGGUGGAUAACACGACUACUGUUAGUCGUCCGCCAUUCAAGUGCCGCACUGUUGCGGAAGUCCAUAGGCGCCGGCGGAUAACACGACUACUGUUAGUUGUCCGCCAUUCAAGUGCCGCACUGUUGUGGAAGUGUAUGGGCGACGGCGGCUAAGCGAGUACUGUUAGUCG